rnacentral:ncRNA from 1 species
GGAUUUUGAGGUGGGAAAGGUUCCCCACGCGCUUGCUUUGGCAAGUUACCAGAGAUGCAGGAUACGCCGACCUGCCAAAGUUC